rnacentral:miRNA from 1 species
GGGUGGGAAGGCUGAGGGUGGUGAGGCUGGUGGGGGGUGGGAGGCUGAGGGUGGUGAGACUGGUGGGGGGAGGCUCCCACCCCCCACCAGCCUCACCACCCUCAGCCUCC